rnacentral:rRNA from 1 species
CUCCAGAGUUUGAUCAUGGCUCAGAUUGAACGCUGGCGGCAGGCUUAACAGAUGCAAGUCGAGCGGGGGAAGGUAGCUUGCUACUGGACCUAGCGGCGGACGGGUGAGUAAUGCUUAGGAAUCUGCCUAUUAGUGGGGGACAACAUCUCGAAAGGGAUGCUAAUACCGCAAACGUCCUACGGGAGAAAGCAGGGGAUCUUCGGACCUUGCGCUAAUAGAUGAGCCUAAGUCGGAUUAGCUAGUUGGUGGGGUAAAGGCCUACGUGUAGCGGUGAAAUGCGUAGAGAUCUGCAGGAAUACCGAUGGCGAAGGCAGCCAUCUGGCCUAAUACUGACGCUGAGGUACGAAAGCAUGGGGAGCAAACAGGAUUAGAUACCCUGGUAGUCCAUGCCGUAAACGAUGUCUACUAGCGGUUGGGGCCUUUGAGGCUUUAGUGGCGCAGCUAACGCGAUAAGUAGACCGCCUGGGGAGUACGGUCGCAAGACUAAAACUCAAAUGAAUUGACGGGGGCCCGCACAAGCGGUGGAGCAUGUGGUUUAAUUCGAUGCAACGCGAAGAACCUUACCUGGCCUUGACAUACUAGAAACUUUCCAGAGAUGGAUUGGUGCCUUCGGGAAUCUAGAUACAGGUGCUGCAUGGCUGUCGUCAGCUCGUGUCGUGAGAUGUUGGGUUAAGUCCCGCAACGAGCGCAACCCUU